GUUGUAUAGUCAAGUAAUUAAGUGCAUGUGGUGGAUGCCUUGGCAGUCAGAGGCGAUGAAAGACGUGAUAGCCUGCGAAAAGCUCCGGGGAGGCGGCAAAUAUCCUUUGAUCCGGAGAUGUCUGAAUGGGGGAACCCACCUACUUUAAGGUAGGUAUUGCAACAUGAAUACAUAGUGUUGCAAGGCGAACGAGGGGAAGUGAAACAUCUCAGUACCCUUAGGAAAAGAAAUCAAUUGAGAUUCCCUCAGUAGCGGCGAGCGAACGGGGAUCAGCCCAUUAAGUUAUGUGUGUUUUAGUGGAACGCUCUGGGAAGUGCGAACGUAGAGGGUGAUAUUCCCGUACACGAAAGGGCACACAUAAUGAUGACGAGUAGGGCGAGGCACGUGAAACCUUGUCUGAAUAUGGGGGGACCAUCCUCCAAGGCUAAAUACUCCUGACUGACCGAUAGUGAACCAGUACCGUGAGGGAAAGGCGAAAAGAACCCCUGUGAGGGGAGUGAAAUAGAUCCUGAAACCGCAUGCAUACAAGCAGUGGGAGCACCUUCGUGGUGUGACUGCGUACCUUUUGUAUAAUGGGUCAGCGACUUAUAUUCAGUAGCGAGGUUAACCGUAUAGGGGAGCCGUAGAGAAAUCGAGUCUUAAUAGGGCGUUUAGUUGCUGGGUAUAGACCCGAAACCAGGCGAUCUAUCCAUGAGCAGGUUGAAGGUUGGGUAACACUAACUGGAGGACCGAACCCACUGUCGUUGAAAAGCCAGGGGAUGACUUGUGGAUAGGGGUGAAAGGCUAAUCAAGCCUGGUGAUAGCUGGUUCUCCCCGAAAGCUAUUUAGGUAGCGCCUCGGACGAAUACCAUAGGGGGUAGAGCACUGUUUCGGCUAGGGGGUCAUCCCGACUUACCAAACCGAUGCAAACUCCGAAUACCUAUGAGUACUAUCCGGGAGACAGACUGCGGGUGCUAACGUCCGUAGUCAAGAGGAAAACAAUCCAGACCGCCAGCUAAGGCCCCAAAAUCAUAGUUAAGUGGGAAACGAUGUGGGAAGGCAUAGACAGCUAGGAGGUUGGCUUAGAAGCAGCCACCCUUUAAAGAAAGCGUAAUAGCUCACUAGUCGAGUCGGCCUGCGCGGAAGAUGUAACGGGGCUAAAACUAUGUGCCGAAGCUGCGGAUGUAUACUUUGUAUACGUGGUAGGGGAGCGUUCUGUAAGCCGAUGAAGGUGUGUUGAGAAGCAUGCUGGAGGUAUCAGAAGUGCGAAUGCUGACGUGAGUAACGACAAAACGGGUGAAAAACCCGUUCGCCGAAAGACCAAGGGUUCCAGUCCAACGUUAAUCGGGGCUGGGUGAGUCGACCCCUAAGGCGAGGCCGAAAGGCGUAGUCGAUGGGAAAAUGGUUAAUAUUCCAUUACUUCUGUGUAAUGCGAUGAGAGGACGGAGAAGGCUAAAUCAGCCUGGCGUUGGUUGUCCAGGUGAAAGGAUGUAGGCAUGUAUCUUAGGCAAAUCCGGGGUACUCUAUGCUGAGAUCUGAUAGCAAGCUGUACUUGUACAGCGAAGUGGUUGAUGCCAUGCUUCCAGGAAAAGUCUCUAAGCUUCAGUUACACAGGAAUCGUACCCGAAACCGACACAGGUGGUCAGGUCGAGUAGACCAAGGCGCUUGAGAGAACUCUGCUGAAGGAACUAGGCAAAAUGGUACCGUAACUUCGGGAGAAGGUACGCUGUUGUUGGUGAUGGAACUCGCUUCCUGAGCUGACGACAGCCGCAGAAACCAGGCCGCUGCAACUGUUUAUUAAAAACAUAGCACUCUGCAAACACGAAAGUGGACGUAUAGGGUGUGAUGCCUGCCCGGUGCUGGAAGGUUAAUUGAUGGGGUUAGCGUAAGCGAAGCUCUUGAUCGAAGCCCCAGUAAACGGCGGCCGUAACUAUAACGGUCCUAAGGUAGCGAAAUUCCUUGUCGGGUAAGUUCCGACCUGCACGAAUGGCAUAAUGAUGGCGGCGCUGUCUCCAGCAGAGGCUCAGUGAAAUCGAAAUCGCUGUGAAGAUGCAGUGUACCCGCGGCUAGACGGAAAGACCCCGUGAACCUUUACUGCAGCUUGACACUGAACUUUGACCUUACUUGUGUAGGAUAGGUGGGAGGCUUUGAAGCUGGAACGAAACUUCCAGUGGAGCCGUCCUUGAAAUACCACCCUGGUAAUGUUGAGGUUCUAACUCUGUCCCGUGAUCCGGGACGAGGACCGUGUCUGGUGGGUAGUUUGACUGGGGCGGUCUCCUCCUAAAGAGUAACGGAGGAGUACGAAGGUGCGCUCAGCGUGGUCGGAAAUCACGCGUAGAGUAUAAAGGCAAAAGCGCGCUUAACUGCGAGACCCACAAGUCGAGCAGGUACGAAAGUAGGUCUUAGUGAUCCGGUGGUUCUGUAUGGAAGGGCCAUCGCUCAACGGAUAAAAGGUACUCUGGGGAUAACAGGCUGAUACCGCCCAAGAGUUCAUAUCGACGGCGGUGUUUGGCACCUCGAUGUCGGCUCAUCUCAUCCUGGGGCUGAAGCAGGUCCCAAGGGUAUGGCUGUUCGCCAUUUAAAGAGGUACGCGAGCUGGGUUUAGAACGUCGUGAGACAGUUCGGUCCCUAUCUACCGUGGGCGCUGGAAAUUUGAGAGGAUCUGCUCCUAGUACGAGAGGACCAGAGUGGACGAACCUCUGGUGUACCGGUUGUGACGCCAGUCGCAUCGCCGGGUAGCUAUGUUCGGAAGGGAUAACCGCUGAAAGCAUCUAAGCGGGAAGCCUACCUCAAGAUAAGAUUUCCCUAGGACUUUAUGUCCUCUAAAGAGCCGUUCGAGACUAGGACGUUGAUAGGUUGGAUGUGGAAGCAUAGUGAUAUGUGAAGCUGACCAAUACUAAUUGCUCGUGAGGCUUGACUAUACAACACCCAAGCAGUUG
rnacentral:rRNA from 1 species